CGUUAAAAACUGGUCAAAUGUUUAAAAAAAAGAUAUUAAAAGUGAAGACAAUUUGCAAUUCUAGUAAUGACACACAAAUUUGAUGCACAAUUUGUCUUCGCGGGCCGCAUAAAAUGAUGCGGCGGGCCGUAGCUGGCCCUCGGGCCUUGAGUUUGACACCUGUACCAUAGAGACCAUGUUAG